AAACAUCCAAUGGGGGUGGAAACACUCAACAGAGCAGAAUUUGGGGUUAAAACACCCAACAGAGCCAAAUUUGGGGCUGGAAACGUCCAAUGGGGGUCACAACACCCAACAGAGCCCAAUUUGGGGCUGCAAACAUCCAAUGGGGUUGGAAACACCCAAAAGAGCACAAUUUGGGGUUAAAACAUCCAACAGAGCCAAAUUUGGGGUUGGAAACACCCAAUGGGGUUGGAAACAUCCAAUGGGGUUAAAACACCCAACAGAGCACACUUUGGG
rnacentral:lncRNA from 1 species